GAUGAACGCUGGCGGCGUGCUUAACACAUGCAAGUCGAACGGAAAGGCCCAAGCUUGCUUGGGUGCUCGAGUGGCGAACGGGUGAGUAACACGUGGGUGAUCUGCCCUGCACUUUGGGAUAAGCCUGGGAAACUGGGUCUAAUACCGGAUAGGACCAUCGUUUAGUGUCGGUGGUGGAAAGUUUUUCGGUGUGGGAUGAGCUCGCGGCCUAUCAGCUUGUUGGGGGGGUAAUGGCCUACCAAGGCGUCGACGGGUAGCCGGCCUGGGAGGGUGUACGGCCACAGUGGGACUGAAAGACGGCCCAGCCUCCUAGGGGGGGCGGAAGGGGGAAAUAUGGAAAAAGGGGGGCAGGCCGGAUGCGGCGGCGCCGGGGGGGGGAUGACGGUCUUCGGGUUGAAACCUCCUUUCCCAAGGAAAGAGGCUUUUUGUGAGGGUACUUGAAAAAAAAGCCCCGGCAAACUACGGG
rnacentral:rRNA from 1 species